rnacentral:rRNA from 1 species
GACAGAGGUGCCGAGCGUUAGGCGGAAUCACUGGGCUUAAAGCGUGUGUAGGCGGGUGCCUAAGUACCUUGUGAAAUCCCACGGCUCAACCGUGGAACUGCUCGGUAUACUGCUCGUCUUGAGCCAACUAGGGGCGACCGGAACAAACGGUGGAGCGGUGAAAUGCGUAGAUAUCGUUUGGAACGCCGAUGGUGAAAACAGGUCGCUGGGGUUGUGCUGACGCUGAGACACGAAAGCCAGGGGAGCGAACGGG